rnacentral:tRNA from 1 species
GCGGGUGUAGCUCAAUGGUAGAGCCGCAGCCUUCCAAGCUGAUGACGUGAGUUCGAUUCUCAUCACCCGCUCCA